UGAUUACGUCCCUGCCCUUUGUACACACCGCCCGUCGCUACUACCGAUUGGAUGACUUAGUGAGGUCUUAGGACCGAAGUAAUGGAGCUUUUAUUAGUUCUUUUGCUUUGGAAAUUUGAUCGAACUACGUUAUCUAGAGGAAGUAAAAGUCGUAACAAGGUUUCCGUAGGUGAACCUGCGGAAGGAUCAUUA
rnacentral:rRNA from 1 species